rnacentral:rRNA from 1 species
UACAGAGGAGCCAAGCGUUGUCCGGAUUGACUGGGCGUAAAGCGCACGCAGGCGGCACCGCGCGUGGGGUGUGAAAUCUGGCCGCUUAACGGCCAGGCGCCAUCCCAUACGGCGGAGCUGGAGUGAUGCAGAGGUCGGUGGAAUUGCCGGUGUAGUGGUGAAAUGCGUAGAGAUCGGGAGGAACACCAGUGGCGAAGGCGGCUACCUGGACCAGCACUGACACUGAGGCACGAAAGCGUGGGGAGCAAACAGG